CUGAGAGUCACUGCUGACUGCGGAGUUGGGGUGCAAGGCACUCUGGCUUCCCCAGGAGCCCCGUCUGGGUGGACUUGCUGCAGCAAGCGCACGGCGUAGAAGGGGAUGCUGAAUGCUCCGAGGUCAGAUCCAGGAAGGUCGAAGCUGUCCACGGUGGCCCCUGUGGCACCAUGGGAGUGGCAGUGUCUCCUGUCUCCGUUGCCUGUCAGCCACUGCCAGGCCCGACUGGACUUCCCAUUUCCGAAGACUCCUCCAGGCCAGUGGAGCGGAGCAGGGCAGGACUCUCAGCCCCAGGAAGAGGAUCGGGAAGAAAUGGACCUGAGCAAUCUAGCCAUCCAACUUUCCAGAGGCAUGUAACCAGAGAGUCUCAGUCCUCACCUCUCUUCCUUACACAUCACUGGGCAAGAGUUCCUGGUCAUGGCAUGCUAGCCCUGCUCUCUACCUUGCUUCAGCGGAUGUGGUUAGGGGAGACCUCUGUGGGAUAAAGGCAAGGGGAAAGGACAAUAGAAUGCUAUGCGGUGUGAUAAGUUUGGAUGUGGGAGCAGCCUGGUGCCUCUUGCAUAUAGCCAUGACUGCCUUGGGGAGACGUAGGACCAGUCCUUCUGGAUUAGCAAUCACCGGAGCCCAAUACCCCCACCAGCUGAGCAGGCCUUGAGGGGCGUGAUGGGUUGGAGCACAGAAACACUCCUGGGAACUGCCACCUGCUGUGCCAAGACUACUCCAGACAGGUAGUCUUGUUGAGCCAGACAGGCCCGUCUGCUGCAACACUGACCCAGGGUCUGAACCACGUGCCCCAAAGCAGCAGAUUUCACCUGAAAGCAACUUACAGAAGUGUUUCUGUCUUUAACGCGCAGA